rnacentral:lncRNA from 1 species
UUCAGAGAUCCCAGGCAGAAGGAGUGCAACGUCUCAGAUCUUGGGUGUCGAGCUCUUCUUCUCCUUUUCUAACUCGGCCAGAUUGCACAUCUUCCUGUGUCGCAGUUGAUAGCCACUAAUAGACUCUGGCUGGAACACGACAUUUAUCUCCUUCUCAUUUGUACCACACAAAUGAAGUUACAAUAAUGGCACUUUGUUGGCACUGAGGAAGACCAGUUCCAAAGUGUCCCACUUUUUCUCGCUAUUCAGCAUUCAGAGUUGAUGCAAAAUAACAAAUACUCUGACCCAGUUUGAGAACACAGCCUGGUCAUGUAGCAAAGAGGAAUGCUUUCGUCAUGGGGUCCCCUAUACUUCCUUCAUGGACCUGCUAAGUCUCAGUGCCUGAAGUGCCCAUCAAGGGUGAAGCAAGAGAAGACCGACAGAGCUACAGAUCUUGUUGUGACAGUUCUCUGUGUGGCCCAGGAGAAGGUCAUGGGAAGGAGGCUAGGCCAGAAUUGUGAUGACCCUUUGUAAGAGUCAGCAUCCUAUAAUGAUGGGAAUCCGGGAAGCUACAAAACCACCUCCUCGUGUGUCAAGAGACGUGAACUUUGAGCCAGAAAAACCUGAGUUUGAGUUCUGACUUGGCACCUCCCCAGCUGUGUGACCUUGUUCCAAUACAUCCCCUUUUCUUUUGGAUCUCAUUUUUCCUGUCUGUAAAACAAAGGGCUCUUUGGAUGCCACUGAAGGAGCUGCUUCCUGUUAGUUCAUAUCAGGAUCUCCAAGGACCUGUGCCCCGAUCUGUGCAGAGGGGACAGUGAUGCCUGCUGGUUUGUCUCCUAGGGUUGUUGGGAGAUGUGUGGACACAGGAGGGGCCUGGCAGAUUUUCUUAGUUGAAAUGUGUUGGGCUUGGGAGCUGCUUUCUAGAUUUUCAGCAAUGUAAUCAUUAAC